GGAAGGCAUUCUCAUCCGGUGAUGGGGCCGGGCUUCAAACCCGGUGAGGGGCGUCAGACGUUCCUCUGUAAGUUCGACUCUUUCUGCCUUCCGCCA
rnacentral:tRNA from 1 species